CCUUCGGGUGAGUGGCGGACGGGUGAGUAACACGUGGGAACGUGCCCUUUGGUUCGGAAUAAUCCGGGGAAACCUGGCCUAAUACCGGAUGUGCCCUACGGGGGAAAGAUUUAUCGCCAUUGGAGCGGCCCGCGUCUGAUUAGCUAGUUGGUGAGGUAAAGGCUCACCAAGGCUACGAUCAGUAGCUGGUCUGAGAGGAUGAUCAGCCACACUGGGACUGAGACACGGCCCAGACUCCUACGGGAGGCAGCAGUAGGGAAUCUUGCGCAAUGGGCGAAAGCCUGACGCAGCCAUGCCGCGUGAAUGAUGAAGGUCUUAGGA
rnacentral:rRNA from 1 species